rnacentral:misc_RNA from 1 species
AAAUGCGAUACGUAAUGUGAAUUGCAAAUUCAGUGAAUCAUCGAGUCUUUGAACGCACAUUGCGCCCCCUGGUAUUCCGGGGGGCAUGCCUGUCCGAGCGUCAUUUCUGCCCUCAAGCACGGCUUGUGUGUUGGGCCCCGUCCUCCGAUCCCGGGGGACGGGCCCGAAAGGCAGCGGCGGCACCGCGUCCGGUCCUCGAGCGUAUGGGGCUUUGUCACCCGCUCUGUAGGCCCGGCCGGCGCUUGCCGAUCAACCCAAAUUUUUAUCCAGGUUGACCUCGGAUCAGGUGGGGAUACCCGCUGAACUUAAGC